rnacentral:rRNA from 1 species
GAUGAACGCUGGCGGCGUGCCUAAUACAUGCAAGUCGAGCGAACGGACGAGAAGCUUGCUUCUCUGAUGUUAGCGGCGGACGGGUGAGUAACACGUGGAUAACCUACCUAUAAGACUGGGAUAACUUCGGGAAACCGGAGCUAAUACCGGAUGAUAUUUUGAACCGCAUGGUUCAAAAGUGAAAGACGGUCUUGCUGUCACUUAUAGAUGGAUCCGCGCUGCAUUAGCUAGUUGGUAAGGUAACGGCUUACCAAGGCAACGAUGCGUAGCCGACCUGAGAGGGUGAUCGGCCACACUGGAACUGAGACACGGUCCAGACUCCUACGGGAGGCAGCAGUAGGGAAUCUUCCGCAAUGGGCGAAAGCCUGACGGAGCAACGCCGCGUGAGUGAUGAAGGUCUUCGGAUCGUAAAACUCUGUUAUUAGGGAAGAACAUAUGUGUAAGUAACUGUGCACAUCUUGACGGUACCUAAUCAGAAAGCCACGGCUAACUACGUGCCAGCAGCCGCGGUAAUACGUAGGUGGCAAGCGUUAUCCGGAAUUAUUGGGCGUAAAGCGCGCGUAGGCGGUUUUUUAAGUCUGAUGUGAAAGCCCACGGCUCAACCGUGGAGGGUCAUUGGAAACUGGAAAACUUGAGUGCAGAAGAGGAAAGUGGAAUUCCAUGUGUAGCGGUGAAAUGCGCAGAGAUAUGGAGGAACACCAGUGGCGAAGGCGACUUUCUGGUCUGUAACUGACGCUGAUGUGCGAAAGCGUGGGGAUCAAACAGGAUUAGAUACCCUGGUAGUCCACGCCGUAAACGAUGAGUGCUAAGUGUUAGGGGGUUUCCGCCCCUUAGUGCUGCAGCUAACGCAUUAAGCACUCCGCCUGGGGAGUACGACCGCAAGGUUGAAACUCAAAGGAAUUGACGGGGACCCGCACAAGCGGUGGAGCAUGUGGUUUAAUUCGAAGCAACGCGAAGAACCUUACCAAAUCUUGACAUCCUUUGACAACUCUAGAGAUAGAGCCUUCCCCUUCGGGGGACAAAGUGACAGGUGGUGCAUGGUUGUCGUCAGCUCGUGUCGUGAGAUGUUGGGUUAAGUCCUGCAACGAGCGCAACCCUUAAGCUUAGUUGCCAUCAUUAAGUUGGGCACUCUAAGUUGACUGCCGGUGACAAACCGGAGGAAGGUGGGGAUGACGUCAAAUCAUCAUGCCCCUUAUGAUUUGGGCUACACACGUGCUACAAUGGACAAUACAAAGGGCAGCGAAACCGCGAGGUCAAGCAAAUCCCAUAAAGUUGUUCUCAGUUCGGAUUGUAGUCUGCAACUCGACUACAUGAAGCUGGAAUCGCUAGUAAUCGUAGAUCAGCAUGCUACGGUGAAUACGUUCCCGGGUCU